UCGAGUUCCCAUACGAUCACCGAAGUUAAGCAACGUCGAGCCUGGUCAAUGCCUAGAUGGGUAACCGCUUGGUAAUACCAGGUGCUGUAAG